UACGGGGGGGGCAAGCGUUGUUCGGAAUUACUGGGCGUAAAGGGCUCGUAGGUGGCCAACUAAGUCAGACGUGAAAUCCCUCGGCUUAACCGGGGAACUGCGUCUGAUACUGGAUGGCUUGAGUUCGGGAGAGGGAUGCGGAAUUCCAGGUGUAGCGGUGAAAUGCGUAGAUAUCUGGAGGAACACCGGUGGCGAAAGCGACUUCCUGGACCAAUACUGACGCUCAUGUGCGAAAGCGUGGGGAGCAAACAGG
rnacentral:rRNA from 1 species